rnacentral:pre_miRNA from 1 species
UCUUAUGAAUGAGCAAAGAAAAUGGUUUCUUGAGAAAGAAACUACUGCUGGUGAAGAUGCUAUGAA